rnacentral:miRNA from 1 species
AAAUGCUAACAAGAGAGAGAGAGAGAGAGAGAGAGAGAGAGUGUGGGCAUGGAGACAGCGUCUGUCUUCUGAGAGAUUUUGUUUCGGUCGCUUCACGCUUCGAACUUUUCACCAAAACUUCACUUUGCCCCAUCCUCUCUCUCUCUCUGUCUCUGUCUCUGUCUCUCUCUCUCUCG